rnacentral:rRNA from 1 species
UACGUAGGGACCGAGCGUUGUCCGGAAUCAUUGGGCGUAAAGGGCUCGUAGGCGGCCAACUAAGUCAGACGUGAAAUCCCUCGGCUUAACCGGGGAACUGCGUCUGAUACUGGAUGGCUUGAGUGUGGGAGAGGGAUGCGGAAUUCCAGGUGUAGCGGUGAAAUGCGUAGAUAUCUGGAGGAACACCGGUGGCGAAGGCGGCAUCCUGGACCAUUACUGACGCUGAGUGAGCGAAAGCCAGGGGAGCAAACGGG